rnacentral:rRNA from 1 species
AUUGAACGCUGGCGGCAUGCCUUACACAUGCAAGUCGAACGGUAACGGGCCUUCGGGUGCCGACGAGUGGCGAACGGGUGAGUAAUACAUCGGAACGUGCCCGAUCGUGGGGGAUAACGAGGCGAAAGCUUUGCUAAUACCGCAUACGAUCUACGGCUGAAAGCAGGGGACCGCAGGGCCUUGCGCGGACGGAGCGGCCGAUGGCAGAGUAGGUAGGUGGUGGGAUAAAAGCUUACCAAGCCGACGAUCUGUAGCUGGUCUGAGAGGAUGAUCAGCCACACUGGGACUGAGACACGGCCCAGACUCCUACGGGAGACAGCAGUGGGGAAUUUUGGACAAUGGGCGCAAGCCUGAUCCAGCCAUGCCGCGUGCAGGAUGAAGGCGUUCGGGUUGUAAACUGCUUUUGUACGGAACGAAAAGCCUUCUUCUAAUACAGGAGGAUCAUGACGGUACCGUAAGAAUAAGCACCGGCUAACUACGUGCCAGCCGCCGCAGUAA